rnacentral:rRNA from 1 species
GGUUAAGCGACUAAGCGUACACGGUGGAUGCCCCCGGCAGUCAGAGGCGAUGAAGGACGUGCUAAUCUGCGAAAAGCGUCGGUAAGGUGAUAUGAACCGUUAUAACCGGCGAUGUCCGAAUGGGGAAACCCAGUGCAAUUCGUUGCACUAUCGUUAACUGAAUACAUAGGUUAACGAGGCGAACCGGGGAACUGAAACAUCUAAGUACCCCGAGGAAAAGAAAUCAACCGAGAUUCCCCCCAGUAGCGGCGAGCGAACGGGGAGCAGCCCAGAGUCUGAAUCAGCUUGUGUGUUAGUGGAACGGUCUGGAAAGUCCGACGGUACAGGGUGAUAGUCCCGUACACCAAAAAUGCACAGGUUGUGAACUCGAAGAGUAGGGCGGGACACGUGGUAUCCUGUCUGAAUAUGGGGGACCAUCCUCCAAGGCUAAAUACUCCUGACUGACCGAUAGUGAACCAGUACCGUGAGGGAAAGGCGAAAAGAACCCCGGCGAGGGGAGUGAAAAAGAACCUGAAACCGUGUACGUACAAGCAGUGGGAGCACCUUCGGGUGUGACUGCGUACCUUUGUAUAAUGGGUCAGCGACUUAUAUUCUGUAGCAAGGUUAACCGUAUAGGGGAGCCGCAGGGAAACCGAGUCUUAACUGGGCGUUAAGUUGCAGGGUAUAGACCCGAAACCCGGUGAUCUAGCCAUGGGCAGGUUGAAGGUUGGGUAACACUAACUGGAGGACCGAACCGACUAAUGUUGAAAAAUUAGCGGAUGACUUGUGGCUGGGGGGUGAAAGGCCAAUCAAACCGGGAGAUAGCUGGUUCUCCCCGAAAGCUAUUUAGGUAGCGCCUCGUGAACUCAUCUUCGGGGGUAGAGCACUGUUUCGGCUAGGGGGUCAUCCCGACUUACCAACCCGAUGCAAACUACGAAUACCGAAGAAUGUUAUCACGGGAGACACACGGCGGGUGCUAACGUCCGUCGUGAAGAGGGAAACAACCCAGACCGCCAGCUAAGGUCCCAAAGUCAUGGUUAAGUGGGAAACGAUGUGGGAAGGCACAGACAGCCGGGGAUGUUGGCUUAGAAGCAGCCAUCAUUUAAAGAAAGCGUAAUAGCUCACUGGUCGAGUCGGCCUGCGCGGAAGAUGUAACGGGGCUAAACCAUGCACCGAAGCUGCGGCAGCGACACUAUGUGUUGUUGGGUAGGGGAGCGUUCUGUAAGCCUGCGAAGGUGUGCUGUGAGGCAUGCUGGAGGUAUCAGAAGUGCGAAUGCUGACAUAAGUAACGAUAAAGCGGGUGAAAAGCCCGCUCGCCGGAAGACCAAGGGUUCCUGUCCAACGUUAAUCGGGGCAGGGUGAGUCGACCCCUAAGGCGAGGCCGAAAGGCGUAGUCGAUGGGAAACAGGUUAAUAUUCCUGUACUUGGUGUUACUGCGAAGGGGGGGACGGAGAAGGCUAUGUUAGCCGGGCGACGGUUGUCCCGGUUUAAGCAUGUAGGCUGAUUGUCCGAGGCAAAUCCGGAUAAUCAAGGCUGAGGUGUGAUGACGAGGCACUACGGUGCUGAAGUAACAAAUGCCCUGCUUCCGAGGAAAAGCCUCUAAGCAUCAGGUAACAUUAAAUCGUACCCCAAACCGACACAGGUGGUCAGGUAGAGAAUACCAAGGCGCUUGAGAGAACUCGGGUGAAGGAACUAGGCAAAAUGGUGCCGUAACUUCGGGAGAAGGCACGCUGGUGUGUAGGUGAAGUCCCUGCGGAUGGAGCUGAGACCAGUCGAAGAUACCAGCUGGCUGCAACUGUUUAUUAAAAACACAGCACUGUGCAAACACGAAAGUGGACGUAUACGGUGUGACGCCUGCCCGGUGCCGGAAGGUUAAUUGAUGGGGUUAUCCGUAAGGAGAAGCUCUUGAUCGAAGCCCCGGUAAACGGCGGCCGUAACUAUAACGGUCCUAAGGUAGCGAAAUUCCUUGUCGGGUAAGUUCCGACCUGCACGAAUGGCGUAAUGAUGGCCGGGGCUGUCUCCACCCGAGACUCAGUGAAAUUGAACUCGCUGUGAAGAUGCAGUGUACCCGCGGCAAGACGGAAAGACCCCGUGAACCUUUACUAUAGCUUGACACUGAACAUUGAGCCUUGAUGUGUAGGAUAGGUGGGAGGCUUUGAAGCGUGGACGCCAGUCUGCGUGGAGCCAACCUUGAAAUACCACCCUUUAAUGUUUGAUGUUCUAACGUUGGCCCCUGACCGGGGUUGCGGACAGUGUCUGGUGGGUAGUUUGACUGGGGCGGUCUCCUCCCAAAGCGUAACGGAGGAGCACGAAGGUUAGCUAAUCCCCGGUCGGACAUCAGGAGGUUAGUGCAAUGGCAUAAGCUAGCUUGACUGCGAGCGUGACGGCGCGAGCAGGUGCGAAAGCAGGUCAUAGUGAUCCGGUGGUUCUGAAUGGAAGGGCCAUCGCUCAACGGAUAAAAGGUACUCCGGGGAUAACAGGCUGAUACCGCCCAAGAGUUCAUAUCGACGGCGGUGUUUGGCACCUCGAUGUCGGCUCAUCACAUCCCCGGGGCUGAAGUAGGUCCCAAGGGUAUGGCUGUUCGCCAUUUAAAGUGGUACGCGAGCUGGGUUUAGAACGUCGUGAGACAGUUCGGUCCCUAUCUGCCGUGGGCGCUGGAGAAUUGAGGGGGCUGCUCCUAGUACGAGAGGACCGGAGUGGACGCAUCACUGGUGUUCGGGUUGUCAUGCCAAUGGCACUGCCCGGUAGCUAAAUGCGGAAGAGAUAAGUGCUGAAAGCAUCUAAGCACGAAACUUGCCCCGAGAUGAGUUCUCCCUGAGACUUUAAGUCUCCUGAAGGAACGUUGAAGACGACGACGUUGAUAGGCCGGGUGUGUAAGCGCAGCGAUGCGUUGAGCUAACCGGUACUAAUGAACCGUGAGGCUUAACCUU